rnacentral:rRNA from 1 species
CGUAAGCUGUCGCUAAAGGAUGGACCUGCGAUGCAUUAGCUAGUUGGGUAAGGGUAACGGGCUUACCAAGGCGAUGAUGCAUAGCCCGAGUUGAGAGACUGAUCGGGCCACGUUGGGACUGAGACACGGGCCCAAACUCCUACGGGAGGCAGCAGUAGGGGGAAUCUUCCACAAUGGACGAAAAGUCUGAUGGAGCAAACGCCGCGUGAGUGAAGAAGGUUUUCGGACCGUAAAGCUCUGUUGUUGGUGAAGAAGGAUAGAGGUAGUAACUGGCCCUUUAUUUGACGGUAAUCAACCAGAAAGUCACGGGCUAACUACGUGCCAGCAGCCGCGGUAAAU